AGAGAAAGAAGAAAUGGGCAGAAUGCCUGACUCAGAGAGGAACAACAUCCAACCCUGUGGGAACAUAACAAGAGGUGGCGUGCUAGCCCCUUGGUGUUCCCGAUGCCUGUGACCUUCAGUGUUCACGGUUAUAGAGAAAGAGCAGCUGCUUCUCACGACAAGAAUCCUGGAACAUUAUGACUGGCUCAGCUCAGGAAAAGGGCCCGUUCCUGAUUUAAUCACUGCACCCAGAGAGAUGGGGGUGGCUCUGUGGGUCACCUCGCCUAAGCCGUCCACUCCUGCAGCAGGAAGAUGGUGUCAUUCCAUCUGCACUACAUGGUCUCAGGAGGCUUCCAUGCAAUGGUGGAGGGGUCAGUCCCCCGAAGAAGGGAUGCUGGACAGACUAGAAAAAUCAUGCCUGCUACAGCGAGUCAUUGACAGAAGUGGAUCCGGAGGUAAGUAGAAGCUACCCUGGACUCCAGUCUUGAAGCAUGUGCAAAUACAGCCCAACCAAUGAGCCCAUUCCACGUGGCUGGCUGGAAGAUGGGUUUGUUAUGGGCACACAACAAAAGCCACGCCUACCAGGGUGAAUGUGAUCCAGUUCUGGGACUUUUGCUUCAGCUUUUGCUUUGCGUCUUAAACAUGAGGAUUUUUAAAAUCCUUAAACACGGAGGCCAGGGCUGCUGUUGCUCACAUUGAGUUUAUCAGAGGGAGAAAGGUUGAGCCCGGC